rnacentral:rRNA from 1 species
UACGGGGGGGGCAAGCGUUGUUCGGAAUUACUGGGCGUAAAGGGCUCGUAGGUGGCCAACUAAGUCAGACGUGAAAUCCCCAGGCUCAACUUGGGAACUGCGUCUGAUACUGGAUGGCUUGAAUUCGGGAGAGGGAUGCAGAAUUCCAGGUGUAGCGGUGAAAUGCGCAGAUAUCAGGAGGAACACCGGUGGCGAAGGCGCCACUCUGGGCCGAAACUGACGCUGAGGAGCGAAAGCGUGGGUAGCAAACAGG